rnacentral:rRNA from 1 species
UACGAAGGGGGCUAGCGUUGCUCGGAAUCACUGGGCGUAAAGGGUGCGUAGGCGGGUCUUUAAGUCAGGGGUGAAAUCCUGGAGCUCAACUCCAGAACUGCCUUUGAUACUGAGGAUCUUGAGUUCGGGAGAGGUGAGUGGAACUGCGAGUGUAGAGGUGAAAUUCGUAGAUAUUAGGAAGAACACCAGUGGCGAAGGCGGCUCACUGGUCCGGUACUGACGCUGAGGUGCGAAAGCGUGGGGAGCAAACAGGG